ACUUCCGGUGAAGAUGCCGGAUACCUGUAGUUAGACGAAAAGACCCCAGGAGCUUUACUACAGCUUCGUAUUGGCAUUGCGUGCUGCAUGCGUAGCAUAGAUGGGAGAGGUUGAAAGAAUGGUUUCGGCUGUUCUGGACUCGUCAGUGAAAUACCAUUCUUGUUGUGUGCAAUGUCUAAUCCCGCUAGACAAAACUGGCGGGAGACCGUGCGUGGCAGGUAGUUUUGGUGGGGCGCUAUCCUCCUAAAGAGUAACGGAGGAGUCUAUUAAGGUUCUCUAGGCGCGAAUGGAAACCGUGCCGAUAGUGUAAUGGCACAAGAGAGCUUAACUGCGAGACGUACAUGUCGAGCAGAUGCGAAAGCAGAGCAUAGUGAACCGAUGGUCCGCCUUAGACGCGGCCAGAGAUUAACGGAUAUAAGUUACCCUGGGGAUGGACCCUGAAAUAAGGGUUUGUUGUCCUCCCCUGGAGCAAUCCAAGGAUAUAAGAACGGCUUAUAACGGUGAACGGGGAACGAAAGUUUUCUGAAUACCGUGGGA
rnacentral:rRNA from 1 species